rnacentral:lncRNA from 1 species
GUUAGUAGUUACAGAAAACAGGAAUCUAUAAACUCAUAAGUUUACUCAUAUUAUAGGGGAAAGAAAAAUUUGUUUUCUUUCUGGAGAGUCUCUAGAGCACAUUUCUUUGAGCCCUGGCUUCUUUGAUAAUGUUAUCGAGAGUUUGCCUGGGUCUGGGCUUUGCCUGUUAUUGCCUUUGGGACGAGUCAGACUAAUACAGAAGACUUGUUUUUCUUUUCUGUUUUUUUUUUAUUUUAUUUUUCUUUACUUCUUUAAUUUCCUUCCUCAAUCGGAGCAAGUGGAAACUUCUAUCACUGAAUAGCAGUGUUGUCUGUCAACAUUAUCCGUCCCUUUUGAGGGUAGUGUCAUCUGAUAACAUUUUUGAGUCAUGGGAAAUUUCCGGAAACAGAACAGCACACAGAAAGGACUGACCUAUUUCUCUUAGAGUAACAUCCUCGUGGCUCAUCCACGUAAUGAUUGAAGAAAUAUUUCUGUUGCUAGGAGAAAGGACCUUGAAACCUUGAAGUAUUCUGUGGUAUCCUGUGUGUACACAGUUCUUCUUCAAAGAGAACUUAGAGACAUUUACUUGGGUGACUUGACAUUAAAGGGAAGAGAUUGCCUAGAGCAGGGGGCAGCACACUGUGGACUGAGAACCAAAUCAAGCCAGGCAUCUGUUUUUGCAAAUAAAGUUUUAUUAGAAAACAGCAAUGUCCAUUCAUUUACACAUUGUCUAUGGCUGAUUUCAUGCUACAAUUGCAGAGUCCAUAAUUGCAACUAAGAUGUUAUGAUUUGCAAAACCUAAAGUACUCACCAAUUAACAUUUUAUAAAAUAUGUUUGCUGACCCUUGACAUUUGAGGACAGUUGGACAUGGGUCUAAGGUGACAUUGAUACCCAAAGAGCCAAAGCAUCAUCAUGGCCCCCUGAUAAAGUGGGAGCUUAUAGGGUUA